rnacentral:rRNA from 1 species
CCCUUAGAUGUUCUGGGCCGCACGCGCGCUACACUGAUGCAUGCAACGAGUUCUACCCUGAGCCGGAAGGCUUGGGUAAUCUGUGAACGUGCAUCGUGAUAGGGAUAGAUUAUUGCAAUUAUUAAUCUUGAACGAGGAAUUCCUAGUAAACGCAAGUCAUCAGCUUGCAUUGAUUACGUCCCUGCCCUUUGUACACACCGCCCGUCGCACCUACCGAUUGAAUGGUCCGGUGAAAUCUCGGGACGGCGGCUUGGUCGCUUGCGUCCGACUGCUGAAACUUGAUUAAACCAUAUCAUUUAGAGGAAGGUGAAGUCGUAACA